rnacentral:rRNA from 1 species
CUUGCUGGGGGAUUAGUGGCGAACGGGUGAGUAACACGUGAGUAACCUGCCCUUGACUCUGGGAUAAGCCUGGGAAACUGGGUCUAAUACCGGAUACGACCAUCUGGCGCAUGUCAUGGUGGUGGAAAGCUUUUGUGGUUUUGGAUGGACUCGCGGCCUAUCAGCUUGUUGGUGGGGUAAUGGCCUACCAAGGCGACGACGGGUAGCCGGCCUGAGAGGGUGACCGGCCACACUGGGACUGAGACACGGCCCAGACUCCUACGGGAGGCAGCAGUGGGGAAUAUUGCACAAUGGGCGCAAGCCUGAUGCAGCGACGCCGCGUGAGGGAUGACGGCCUUCGGGUUGUAAACCUCUUUCAGUAGGGAAGAAGCGAAAGUGACGGUACCUGCAGAAGAAGCGCCGGCUAACUACGUGCCAGCAGCCGCGGUAAUACGUAGGGCGCAAGCGUUAUCCGGAAUUAUUGGGCGUAAAGAGCUCGUAGGCGGUUUGUCGCGUCUGCUGUGAAAGACCGGGGCUCAACUCCGGUUCUGCAGUGGGUACGGGCAGACUAGAGUGCAGUAGGGGAGACUGGAAUUCCUGGUGUAGCGGUGAAAUGCGCAGAUAUCAGGAGGAACACCGAUGGCGAAGGCAGGUCUCUGGGCUGUAACUGACGCUGAGGAGCGAAAGCAUGGGGAGCGAACAGGAUUAGAUACCCUGGUAGUCCAUGCCGUAAACGUUGGGCACUAGGUGUGGGGGACAUUCCACGUUUUCCGCGCCGUAGCUAACGCAUUAAGUGCCCCGCCUGGGGAGUACGGCCGCAAGGCUAAAACUCAAAGGAAUUGACGGGGGCCCGCACAAGCGGCGGAGCAUGCGGAUUAAUUCGAUGCAACGCGAAGAACCUUACCAAGGCUUGACAUGAACCGGAAAGACCUGGAAACAGGUGCCCCGCUUGCGGUCGGUUUACAGGUGGUGCAUGGUUGUCGUCAGCUCGUGUCGUGAGAUGUUGGGUUAAGUCCCGCAACGAGCGCAACCCUCGUUCUAUGUUGCCAGCGCGUUAUGGCCGGGGACUCAU